rnacentral:rRNA from 1 species
UAAACGACUCUCGGCAACGGAUAUCUCGGCUCACGCAUCGAUGAAGAACGUAGCAAAAUGUGAUACUUGGUGUGAAUUGCAGAAUCCCGUGAACCAUCGAGUUUUUGAACGCAAGUUGCGCCCGAAGCCAUUCGGCCGAGGGCACGUCUGCCUGGGCGUCACGC